UGACAAAAGAAUUGAAUCCCAGACCUUAUGUGCAACCCAUAAACGGAUUUGGUGAUCUUAGAAUUUAUUAUGAUUGCCACCCUCUAUAGUCUGGAAGAAUGAGUUCACAAGGUAUUAACUUUUGUGUAUGAGUUCACGAUUCCCAAUUGCCAUCUAUGAUUGAGAGUUUCAGUUCAGGUGGAGAUAGAAAUAUUCUUUCUGUUGAGGACUUCAACUCCAUUUAGAUAAACUUAAGAGUUGUACUAUCCCAGCUUUUGAUAGAGUUGGUAUCCACACUUCUGGAUGAUUUGCUUAUUGGAGGGAGUGUGUUGAAGAAUGGAGAUCUUUUAUUGUGCCUUUGAAUAAUCCCAGAGCUUGUCUCUACACUCUUCCUAUAAGUAACUUCGAUGUAUCCUUACGCUUAAUUUCUCUCAAAAAGAAAAGAAAUGUAAAUGAAAAAGAAGAUGAUGCUCCUCACGCUCUUACUCAUCAAACAAAACAUGUGCAUCGAAAAAGAGAAACAACUGCGAUAGUAGAACUUAACUCGGUUGAAGAGGAAGAGACUUUUAAAGCUAAAACUGAGGGAGAAUCAUGUGACUCUGAACGUAGUGAUGAAUUUGAUGAUGAGUUUGUUGAUGUUGAUGAAGUUGAAGUUGAUGGUGAGCUAGCCCCUUUUGAUGAUUUCAUUGAUUUGGAUGUUCUAUUUCCUUCGCAUAUUCAGAGCUCCACUAAUGUUGAAGUUGAUGCUAGAGCUACUCCUGAUGUUAUCAUCGAUAAUGUCGGAGCAACUCCUAAUAUUGAGGUUGUUCAUGAUGUUGGAGUUGUUACUAAUGAUGCUAGAGUUACUCCGAUUAAUUCUCGUGCUUCUUUUUCCUCAGUGCCAACACAAAAAGAUGCCAGUGGUGUUUCUCCUUUGUAAAGAACGUAGACAUCAUUUGCUUAAUGAUAGAAGUGUUGUGUAGAGCUUUAGUCAUUUCCCAUGCUCCACUAAUGAGUACUUCACCAAAGGAAUUGCAACAGAUGUUACAGGAGUUCGAUGAUGCUUGUAACUUUGGAUUCAAGCUUGAGUGCCUCAGUGAUUGUAGAUCUAAAGUCAAGAUUUUUCUCAACAAGUCUUCCUUGAAAAAUGAGUUAGAAGACAUUGCAGCGAAGAUAGCUUUUCUGAAAAAAUGUGAAGCUAAAAUUCAAGAACAAUUAGAUGUAUUUGCCAAUAAUAACUCUUCUCUAUGGACUAUGUAAUUGACUAGUCUUUUGCUUUUCCUUUACUCUUUUUGAAAACUCAUUUAAGUUAGU